AGAGUUUGAUCCUGGCUCAGGACGAACGCUGGCGGCGUGCUUAACACAUGCAAGUCGAACGGAGUUUAAUAAGAAGCUUGCUUCAUAUUAAACUUAGUGGCGGACGGGUGAGUAACGCGUGGGCAAUCUGCCCGUAAGAGGGGGAUAACACCGAGAAAUUGGUGCUAAUACCGCAUAACAUCACCGGGUUGCAUAAUCUGGUGAUCAAAGGAGAAAUCCGCUUACGGAUGAGCCCGCGUCUGAUUAGCUAGUUGGUAGGGUAACGGCCUACCAAGGCGACGAUCAGUAGCCGGCCUGAGAGGGUGACCGGCCACACUGGAACUGAGACACGGUCCAGACUCCUACGGGAGGCAGCAGUGGGGAAUCUUCCGCAAUGGGCGAAAGCCUGACGGAGCAACGCCGCGUGAGUGAAGAAGGCCUUCGGGUUGUAAAACUCUGUCUUCAGGGAAGAAACAAAUGACGGUACCUGAGGAGGAAGCCACGGCUAACUACGUGCCAGCAGCCGCGGUAAUACGUAGGUGGCAAGCGUUGUCCGGAAUUACUGGGCGUAAAGAGCGCGUAGGCGGGAAUUUAAGUCAGGAGUGAAAACUGGGGGCUCAACCUCCAGCCUGCUCUUGAAACUGGAUUUCUUGAGGGUAUGAGAGGAAAGCGGAAUUCCCAGUGUAGCGGUGAAAUGCGUAGAUAUUGGGAGGAACACCAGUGGCGAAGGCGGCUUUCUGGCAUACAACUGACGCUGAGGCGCGAAAGCGUGGGGAGCAAACGGGAUUAGAUACCCUGGUAGUCC
rnacentral:rRNA from 1 species